UAAUAAUUGUCUGUGAUGUCUUUGUAAGCAGAGGCAAUGCUUGCCUGGACUGCCUGGAUCCAAGCCUGACGCAGCUUCUCAGACUCAGCCUGCAGCAUACAGCUCCUGCAGGUCUUGAAGGCGUUGCUGGCCCUCUUGAAGAGGUAGCCCUCCAUGACCACACCAUUGGGUGCAUCCACAUUGAAUUCUAACUUGGGGUCAUCAUAAGAAAAGUCCUGCAGGGAGAAGACAAACGUGUUACAGCCAGGCUUCCUCUAGUCCACUGAACGACCUAAAACCAAUGUGCCGCACAGUUUUCAUCACUUAGUUUGUCCUGCUCUGCCAAAAACCUGCAACAAUGGAGCGGGAGAGAGCUGAGGCAACAAUCCCCCAGGGAGCCACAAUGAAGUCCUGCACACAUAAAAGACUGCUUUGAAAGAAUAGAAAAGACAGGAGAAAGAGGGAGUGUGUGAGGCGAGAGGAAAUUUACUAAGAAUAGCAGAAGUAAAGGCGAGGCGGAGAGCGACAGAAAAAGUAGGAAAAAUAUAAAAAAUAUGAAAGGACAGGGAUCAUUGUUUUUGGCUUCAUGUGUAUGAGAUUAAGGUUAAGAGGUUAAGACAUACGACCCACACAAACACACACGUGUCUAUCUGUGUGUGUCCUUUUUCAUCAUUAGAGAUCCCCUCUCUGACACAUAUCACAAACCUCUUCACUUCUCUGGCAUCAGUCUUAAAAUAACUUGCUGUUAUAUCCAAUUUAGCCUAAACUACAUUCAUAAUGAAGCUCUUAUUCUCAUACGAAUGUGACUACUGCAGAUACUCAAUGACCUAUUAAUAAAGAAUGUAACAUC